rnacentral:lncRNA from 1 species
AUUACCAGUGUAUCCAAACGUUGAAAUUCAAAAUCAAUUGUGAAGAGUCACAUCCUUUCAUAAAAAGCUUUGUAUAAUCGAUUACAAAGUUUUGGUAAUCGAUUACCAGUGACAAGUUUUGAACAAAAAUCAAAAGAUGUAACUCUUCCAAUGUUUUUCAUAUUUUUCUCAAGGUCAUAACUCUUUCAAUGAUUUUCUUGACUAGACAUGAAGACUCUAUAAAAGCAAGACCUUGACUUGCAUUUAAAGAACCAUGAUUACAACUUUUAC